AACGAACGCUGGCGGCAUGCCUAACACAUGCAAGUCGAACGAGACCUUCGGGUCUAGUGGCGCACGGGUGCGUAACGCGUGGGAACCUGCCCUUGGGUUCGGAAUAACGUCGGGAAACUGACGCUAAUACCGGAUAAUGUCUUCGGACCAAAGAUUUAUCGCCAAAGGAUGGGCCCGCGUAGGAUUAGCUAGUUGGUGAG
rnacentral:rRNA from 1 species